rnacentral:rRNA from 1 species
AGUGACUCUGUUCAACGGCCGCGGUAUCCUAACCGUGCAAAGGUAGCGUAAUCACUUGCCCUUUAAAUAAGGUCUAGUAUGAACGGCACCACGAAGGUUAAACUGUCUCCUUUUUCUAAUCAGUGAAACUAAUCUCCCCGUGAAAAAGCAGGGAUGAACCCAUAAGACGAGAAGACCCUAUGGAGCUUUAAAUAUUAACAACAUUUGUCACUCAAUCUUAUAAACAGCAUACAUGUUUGUUAAUUUUUGGUUGGGGCGACCACGGAGUAAAACUCAACCUCCCUGUUGAAACUUGCUAAGAACCACAAUUUAAGCACCAACAAACUGACAUCCAUUGACCCAAUAUUUUGAUCAACGAACCAAGUUACCCUAGGGAUAACAGCGCUAUCCACUUCAAGAGCUCUU